rnacentral:rRNA from 1 species
CGGGUGAGUAACACGUGAGUAACCUGCCCUUGACUCUGGGAUAAGCCUGGGAAACCGGGUCUAAUACUGGAUACGACCUUCUGGCGCAUGCCAUGUUGGUGGAAAGCUUUUGUGGUUUUGGAUGGACUCGCGGCCUAUCAGCUUGUUGGUGGGGUAAUGGCCUACCAAGGCGACGACGGGUAGCCGGCCUGAGAGGGUGACCGGCCACACUGGGACUGAGACACGGCCCAGACUCCUACGGGAGGCAGCAGUGGGGAAUAUUGCACAAUGGGCGCAAGCCUGAUGCAGCGACGCCGCGUGAGGGAUGAAGGCCUUCGGGUUGUAAACCUCUUUCAGUAGGGAAGAAGCCGCUCUUUUUUGGGGGUGGCGGUAGUUGCAGC